rnacentral:lncRNA from 1 species
CGGAAAAUCGGAGUUACUAUUCACUUUAAGUGAUUAGUACAGGUUGUAUAACUUCUCCAUCCUAACUCGUUUUCUCCUGAAACUUGACGAGUAUUUAUGUAAUUAAAUUACACACAAAAACAUCGUCAACAUAGAGUUUAGCUACACAGUCGAAUUCUCAGUCCUUACAGAUUACUUUUAAUCUAUUAACUUACAUGAAUUCCCAAUAUUUGUUGCCACAUGGCAAGUUUUCCUUCACCCUCACUAGCAUGUGACUCUUCUUCUUUUUCUCACUAAACUUUCAAUGUACAUUUUAACGAUUCUACUAACAAAACUUUCAAUUAAUGUAUUUAAAUGAUUCCACUAACAAAACUUUCAAUUAAUAUAUUUAAAUGGUCCCGCUAUCAUCUACUAUUCUAUCGUUUCUAUCUACAAUUAUUCAUUAUGACCCUUUCCAUUCCCUCCACUAUACUUUUAAUUAAUGCAAACGAUUCCACUACCAAACUUUCAAUUAGUAUGCUUAAAUGAUCUCACUACCAUCUUACAAUCAUAACCUCUCUAUCUCCAAUUAUUCAUUAUGGCCAUUUUCCUUUCCUCCACCAGACUUUUAAUUUUUUAUCUCCAAUCUAUUCAUCAAUUCUCUAUCUCUCAUUUUUUGCUAUACACCAUCGCCUCCUUCCCUUGCUCCCUCUCUCUUUCUCACUAUAAAGCGCCCACUUCCUCUUUCCGCCAUGACGUUUGGUGGAUAUAUCAAGUAAGAUACACAAGAAAAUGUUUAAUAUUUUUUUAUUAUUAAUUAUUACUAGAAUUUCUACCCGCUGCAAAGCACCUAAGAAAAAUAAUGACAUAGCCAACAAACAUUAUCUUUUUCUUUUCAUUUAAAUAUAGUUAUUAUAUUUUAUCUUUUAAUAUU